rnacentral:rRNA from 1 species
AUGAGUUACUUAACAAGAGAAGGCAGGAGUUUCCUACCUUUCUUCUGCAAAUCCGGAAUGCCUUUAUGGCAUGAUCAUGUGAAAAAGUACCUUGAUGCAGUAAUGGAUUUGAUUAUCACUGGUUACUCUGUUUUCACGAAUUACUAUCCAACAGCAUGGAAGAACCAAAAGGUAGUUGAUCAGCAGGAUGGCAAGAGGAAGACAAGAACCAAAUUAAAGUUUGUUGUUGUGCAUGUCUGUAUCUAUCAAGAUUCAGUGCUAUGUAGAAAUGUCCCUGAGAUUUCUUUCACUCAACUGAGACCAAACAAUCAGGAACACAAGUAG